rnacentral:rRNA from 1 species
CCUACGGGUGGCAGCAGUGGGGAAUAUUGCACAAUGGGCGAAACCCUGAUGCAGCGACGCCGCGUGGGUGAAGAAGGAAUUCGUUAUGUAAAGCUCUAUUAGCAGGGAAGAAAAUGCCGGUACUUGAGUAAGAAGCCCCGGCCAACUACGUGCCAGCAGCCGCGGUAAUACGAAGGGGGCAAGCGUUAUCCGGAUUUACUGGGUGUAAAGGGAGCGUAGACGGCAGUGCAAGACUGGAGUGAAAGGCGGGGGCUCAACCCGCGGACUGCACCGGAGACUGUACGGCUGGAGUGCAGGAGAGGUGAGUGGAAUUCCAAGUGUAGCGGUGAAAUGCGUAGAUAUUAGGAAGAACACCAGUGGCGAAGGCGGCUUACUGGACUGUAACUGACGUUGAGGCUCGAAAGCGUGGGGAGCAAACAGGAUUAGAUACCCGGGUAGUC